rnacentral:misc_RNA from 1 species
GCAUAUCCUUGAUUAUUGGCCUCAUCAAAAAUGUAUUUGCUCACCAGAAGAUUUUGAAGUAUGCUCAGACCAGAACGAAUCAUUGUGUCGUGGGAAGUCCAUUCUGCACCCAUGCUGAAAAGCCACCCUGGAUGUCCGUGAUGCUCGUAAAUCCAUCAGAUAAAAGCUCAUUUGCAGCCAUGAAAGAUCUUUUCCCACUUAAGCAUCCCACAAUUAUCUCAUCAUCCUUGCCAAA